UGAGAGUGGGAAUUUGAGUUAG
rnacentral:miRNA from 1 species